CCUACGGGGGGCAGCAGUGAGGAAUAUUGGUCAAUGGACGAGAGUCUGAACCAGCCAAGUAGCGUGAAGGAUGACUGCCCUAUGGGUUGUAAACUUCUUUUAUAUGGGAAUAAAAUGUUCCACGUGUGGGAUUUUGUAUGUACCAUCUGAAUAAGGAUCGGCUAACUCCGUGCCAGCAGCCGCGGUAAUACGGAGGCUCCGAGCGUUAUCCGGAUUUAUUGGGUUUAAAGGGAGCGUAGGUGGAUUGUUAAGUCAGUUGUGAAAGUUUGCGGCUCAACCGUAAAAUUGCAGUUGAAACUGGCAGUCUGGAGUACAUUAGAGGUGGGCGGAAUUCGUGGUGUAGCGGUGAAAUGCUUAGAUAGCACGAAGAACUCCGAUUGCGAAGGCAGUUCACUGGACUGCAACUGACACUGAGGCGCGAAAGUGUGGGUAUCAAACAGGAUUAGAUACCCGUGUAGUC
rnacentral:rRNA from 1 species